rnacentral:rRNA from 1 species
GACGAACCGUGCGAACGUUGUUCGGAAUCACUGGGCUUAAAGGGCGCGUAGGCGGGCUGACAAGUCUGGGGUGAAAUCCCGCGGCUCAACCGUGGAACUGCCUUAGAUACUGUCGGCCUCGAGGGAGGCAGGGGCGUGCGGAACUGUAGGUGGAGCGGUGAAAUGCGUUGAUAUCUACAGGAACUCCGGUGGCGAAAGCGGCGCGCUGGACCUCUUCUGACGCUGAGGCGCGAAAGCUAGGGGAGCAAACGGG